UACGGAGGGGGCAAGCGUUGUUCGGAAUUACUGGGCGUAAAGGGCUCGUAGGCGGCCAACUAAGUCAUGCGUGAAAUCCCUCAGCUUAACUGGGGAACUGCGUCUGAUACUGGAUGGCUUGAGUUUGGGAGAGGGAUGCGGAAUUCCAGGUGUAGCGGUGAAAUGCGUAGAUAUCUGGAGGAACACCGGUGGCGAAGGCGGCAUCCUGGACCAAUACUGACGCUGAGGAGCGAAAGCGAGGGGAGCAAACGGG
rnacentral:rRNA from 1 species